rnacentral:rRNA from 1 species
UACAGAGGGUGCUAGCGUUGUUCGGAAUCAUUGGGCGUAAAGGGCGUGUAGGCGGUUUGUUAAGUCAUGUGUGAAAUCCCUCGGCUCAACCGGGGAAGGACGCAUGAAACUGGCAAGCUAGAGUACCAAAGAGGGGGGUGGAAUUCCCGGUGUAGCGGUGAAAUGCGUAGAUAUCAGGAGGAACACCGGUGGUGUAGACGGCUCACUGGACCGUAACUGACGCUGAGACACGAAAGCGUGGGUAGCAAACAGG